AUCACUUCCUUUGAGGGACGCCAGCCACCAUGUUGAGCAGUCCUAUGAAUAAGCCUUUCAGUGAGGAACUAAGGCCUCAAGUCAAUAGCCAUAUGAGGGCGCCAUCUUAGAAGUGGAUCCUCCAGCCCCAGUGAAGCUUUCAGGUGACUGCAGCCCUUGCCAACCUCUUGACUGCAACCUCACGAGAGACUCUGGGCCAGAAACAUCCAACUAAGCAGCUCUCAAAUUCUUGAGCAUUAUUCACAAUAGCCAAGACUUGGAAGCAACCUAGGUGCCCAUCAAGGGACAAAUGGAUAAAGAAGAUGUAGUGUAUAUAUACCCGAUGGAAUACUACUCAGCCAUAAGAAAUGAUGAACUCCGUCCACUUGUGACAACAUGAAUGGACCUUGAGGGCAUUAUGGUUGUGUGAGGCCACGAUCUUGUGCCAAGGAGAAGACAAGCUGAAAGAUGGAAGGGUGUGAAGCAGAGCGCGGCUGAACAUAAGGACAGAAAGCGCCUGGAACCUUGCAGACACAACUGAGCGGCUGCAUCAAACCUGGCUUGCCUCCUUCCAAGCUUCUCCUUAGGUGAUUGGGAGCAAGUUUCUUACUCUCUCCAAGCCCCAGUUUCUUCACCUGCAAAGAGAAGGAGAUCAGCAGUCAGGACCCAUUCCCCAGGGCCAUUGUGAGAAAUAAAUAGCAGAACAAUGGUGUUUUUGGACAUUUCUCCAAGAGUGGCCAGAAGACCAUUGCAUCAGAUGAGCACCUGGAGUCUUGUGAAAAACACAAAUUCCAUAGACAUCCUGAAUUUUAAUCUGCAGGGGUGGCGUUGGAGGGGAUGAGAAGAGAAGCCUAGGAUUCUGCAUUUUAAAGGGGCUUCUCAGGGGAUGGUUGACUGGAAUAUGCUUUGUGGAAUUAUUUUAAGAAGUAACUAAUACGAGAUCGGAAAGCACCUUUUCCUCUUAGCCAAAAUUGUGCACAAGAGAAUCUCCACUCUCUGGGCCAGUUCAAUGAAAGAAGUGAAUUUUCCUUUUUUUCUCUUUCUUUCCUCCUUUCUAUAAAGUUCAUUCACUUAGUAAA
rnacentral:lncRNA from 1 species